rnacentral:sRNA from 1 species
UCAUAGCCCCGAUUGCAACGGCAUCCUUUUUUGUGAUGGCGCUGAAAAGUCUCGAAAAAGGUACUGCACAUGGUUCGCAAUCACUAAAAAGAUAUAGUGGAAAGCGGGAUUAAGC